rnacentral:piRNA from 1 species
UGCUAUUAUUUGCCUAAAUAUUUCCUGCCCU